UGGAAAGUUAGCUUGUUUUAAUAGGGGCUAUGCUCUACACUUCCCUCCCCUCCCCCUGCCCGCCCACCUCCCAACCCACUCUUAACGUCCAUAAGUCAGAUCCUUAUCAGAUCAUUGUUACCUUCUAAAAAGCGAUCUAUUUUUCACCUGUUGGACUCUGUUAGUGGUCUGAGGAAGAACAGAUCACUUUGUAAACUACGGAUGGUCUGAUAAGGUUUUUACUGACCCACUGACUUUAGAGUUACACUCUGUUUACUACAUCAUAAUGCUGGUUUUGCUGACUUUUUGAAUACAUACACAAUUCAGUAUUGUCUCUGUUCACCUUGUUUUUAUUUCAUUGACAGAAUCAAACCAGCAUUCCCCACUGUGUAAAUAAAUGAUUUUGCUGA
rnacentral:lncRNA from 1 species